rnacentral:tRNA from 1 species
GCCUUCGUGGUGUAAUGGUUAACAUACUUGGCGCGUAUUCGAGAAGUCCGAGGUUCGAGUCCCGGCUAGGGCA